GUGGGUGGUAGAAGCGUGCGGAGGAGCGAUGGGGAGGGCACUUACCUGGGCGGGGUCGAUCCAUGAUCAGGAAGGUGGAUGGCCUAGAGGAGCCCGGCCCAUUGCACUGACGGGGCGGGCGGCUCUAGUAUCUCUCUACGGAGGGCAUACACGUCGUAAUUUGUGGCAGUGGGGGCUCGCGUUCGCGCGGCCCCCGCCCAAAGCGUAAGCCGAAACCGGAGGAGACUAGGUGUGUGGGUGUGUUUCAAAGUUGUGAGUGUCCGAGAAAACCCCCGCAUUCUGCGAUGGCCGCCGCAUACACUCGCUCCUAUGAUUGACAAAGCGAGUGAGCGCAACAACGAACCGCGCGUGCGCCGCCGUCCCGAUCGAUGGUCCAGCGAACACUCGGGGCACAGCUGCUGUGGCAGUGAGCGUUGCUCCGCCGCCCUCCCCGAUCGAUGGUCCAGUGAACACUCGGGGCAGCUGCUGUGGGCAGUGAGCGUUGCUCCCGCGCGGGGUAAGAAGGGCGAUUCCACGCCCGAGUCGGAUCGGGUCACAACCUCCUCCCUCCGAGGCGCGAGCUGUGAGGGAGGAGGGGCGAUGGGCGUUGGAUUUUGCGAGGCGCACGUCUGACCCCGAUCUCUCUGACUGUGCCGAUGAGAGCGCAAAUGGGAUGAGGUUACGGCCUAGCGCACAGGCUGGUGGUGCAGCGAAGGGGAAGCACGCGAUGGCGGGUGAGGGGCGUGCCAAUGGCAGUUGCGCUGCACGGUGUGUCGCCUCCGGCAGCGGCGCCUGGUGACGAUUUAGUGGUGGGUCGGGGGCAGAUUGCCCCAUAGCGAUGGGAGGAGACGAGCCCCCGGGGGAGGUACAUGCGGGGGGAGGCGGGGAGGGAGACGACAUCUUUGCGCUUGGGGCAAUGACGCAGUUAGUGAGGCAAACCCGAGACGCGUCAAUUGCUGGUUGAAAACUAUUUCCAACCCCCCUGCGGUGCCCGCGAGGGCGCCCCAGAAUUUCUGGAAGGUCUGGCGUAGGCCGGGACCUCACAAAGCACAAACCCCAAACAGGAUGGCUCGGAGUGUGCGCAGCCCUGUGUCGCUCUCCCCUCGGAUCUGUGGUUUGCGUCGGCAGCGGCGGCGGGACCGUGGCCCCGCGCACUGCCGGGGAGUGCAGGUGGCACACAGCUCGGUGACGAGCCAAGUAGACGACGCCGUGAGCGCGCAGCCGUGUGGGUGGAACCGAGCGUGGGCCUGUGGUGCGUGGUCCGGGUGUGCUGCCGCCGGCGGACGCGGCGUUUGUAGUCCAACGGUUAGGAUAAUUGCCUUCCAAGCAAUGGACCCGGGUUCGACUCCCGGCAAACGCACGCACGCGCGCCCCUUUUCUCGCGGCAUGCCAUGCCCACGGAUGAUGUGUGGCCCGUCGCCAGCCCCUCCGCGGACCGCGAGUCGCCGCUUCUCUCCCACUCUCGGGUGUGGCAGGAGGCACACUUCUCCAACCCACACCCACGGAGGCCCUGCCCUUGUGCCCUUGUUCUCCGUGCUACCCAUACAAUCCGACUUCGUGCUUCCAAUUGGUGGGCCCCGCAAACGGGGCAGUCCAAAAACUCUGGCUAUGCCGGUCGUUGCGCCCAGCGCACGGUAUUCUUUAGUAAAAGGCGAAAGAAUAGUUCGCUCUGUGCUGAGCGCCCGGCCCCAUAUCUCCCCCGCCCAAACAUCCACGCUCUUCUACGCAUGCCCUGCCCCUUCUUCCACCCAACCGUAUGGGACCGACGCGUGCCCUGCCCUUCCUCCGCCCACUAACCCGACGUGCAAUCUGUAUCCCUCUCAACUUCCCACCACCGCUGUAUGUUGAUGUUGGAGUCAACCAUGGGUGUUCCUGGCACAAAACCAUCCCAUCUCCCUCAGAUCCACUCAAAUCCAUGGAUCAAUGGAUGAACACAAUUCUAAGAAACGGGCAAGUGAAGAGAGAAAGGGAAAUCUUGAAAUUUGAAGCUGUGUUCUUUCAAACAAACAGGAAAUCAUCGUCAUCGUCAUCAUCAUCACCACCAUGAAAACGACAACAGGCUAUGAGAAUGAGAAUGAGAAGGAAAAAACAAAACAAAAACACGAUAAAACAAAUCAAUCAACCAAUAACAAGCAUGCACUGGUACAUAAAAAUAAGCACAGUGACAUCUGUGAUAAAGAACGAGAACGCGUAUUUCAAGAAAAACCCCAAAAAAAAAAAAAAAAAAAAAAAAAAAAAAACACAAUAAUAACGACAUCAACAAUAAACAAAAUAACAAAAUCAAGUUUUCAUAGAUAAGAAAUGAAAACUGCAAUGCCGAAAAAUAAAGCUAAAUAAAUAAACAAACAAACAUACGCCACAAACCACAAAACAAAUUCCACCAAUACUCAAGAACACAGUUUUUCAGACAAUUAUGUAACAAUACCCCAAAAUUAAUAACAAACACACAGAAAAACACGAAAACAAAUCGAAAUACCAAAAUGUAACCAAACUUGGUUAGAUUCAUUUUUCUCGACAUUUUGUGUUUAUUGUUAUUCAUUCCUUUAUUUGCUUCCCCUUGCUGCUGCUGCUUCUUCUUCUUCGUCUCCGUCUGUGUUUUGUUUUGUUUUGUUUUGUUUGUUAGUUCAUUCAUUCAUUACGUCAUGCUUGCAUGACGUGUGUUUGUAGAGCCCGGGCACGGCGUUAGUUGGGAUCCACCUCGUAACUGAACAGCGUCCAGGGGUGUGGGAUGGGCUGGCGUGGGUUAGCGGGGGAAAUACAAAAAAGCGACGGGACGACGGGACCGCGUGUGGCUGACAAGGUGGCCCCCGCGGGGUGGGGAGGCGGCGUCCAACUCAAAAUCGAGCGUCACCAGCGCCAGCACAGGCGGGCCGUGGCAAGGCUGGUUGGCUCUUCCACCCAUCCCCACAGUCGACGUUCGGGGUCCACUGACGCGCACACUCUUUCCAGUUUCGCUCUUUGCAUUGUAGAGGGGGCCCUCCGGGAAACGGAGGGAAAUGGGCUGCGCCGGCCGAGGAGGUAGUGCAAGACCAAGGCGACGCGCGCUGGCCCGGGCAGCAAGCUGCCGGAUGGGCCCGCACCCGAGAUAAAUUAGAUUAAUAUCGUGAGGCUCGAUGAGCCUCGUAUCAGAUAUUAAACUGAUAAGAACAGAUACUACACUUGAUCUU
rnacentral:lncRNA from 1 species